AGCGAACGCUGGCGGCAGGCCUAACACAUGCAAGUCGAACGAACUCUUCGGAGUUAGUGGCGGACGGGUGAGUAACACGUGGGAACGUGCCUUUAGGUUCGGAAUAACUCAGGGAAACUUGUGCUAAUACCGAAUGUGCCCUUCGGGGGAAAGAUUUAUCGCCUUUAGAGCGGCCCGCGUCUGAUUAGCUAGUUGGUGAGGUAAAGGCUCACCAAGGCGACGAUCAGUAGCUGGUCUGAGAGGAUGAUCAGCCACAAUGGGACUGAGACACGGCCCAAACUCCUACGGGAGGCAGCAGUGGGGAAUCUUGCGCAAUGGGCGAAAGCCUGACGCAGCCAUGCCGCGUGAAUGAUGAAGGUCUUAGGAUUGUAAAAUUCUUUCACCGGGGACGAUAAUGACGGUACCCGGAGAAGAAGCCCCGGCUAACUUCGUG
rnacentral:rRNA from 1 species